UUACAGAGAGGUUGUAAUUAUACCUAUGCGACAACUGCUGAAGAAAUUCUUGGUGACACCCAAAGCGUGUUCCUCCACUUGUUUUCUUCCAUUUUAGUUCUCUGCAGAUGUUGCUUGGAUUUUUAAUAAGCUCUGUCAUCUCCAUGUGGGAAUGGUGCUUCUAUUCAUAGGAGACAGAGGCAUAAUGAGGAACUGACAUCAAGAGAAACAGAUCAUUUCUGGGAAUGGUGAUGGAGUACUUCAUGAUACACAGCUGCCUCAGUCAUGUAACAGUACCCGGAUCUCAGAGUAGGGGAAAGGACCUACUCCAGGAGGUUCUGAUUUCAGCGACGUGUUUGAUAUCAUAAGCAACUACUGCCAUACCUUGCUCAAUACACAUGGCCAAGAUGGAG